rnacentral:rRNA from 1 species
CUACAGGCUUAACACAUGCAAGUCGAGGGGCAGCAUGGUCUUAGCUUGCUAAGGCCGAUGGCGACCGGCGCACGGGUGAGUAACACGUAUCCAACCUGCCGUCUACUCUUGGACAGCCUUCUGAAAGGAAGAUUAAUACAAGAUGGCAUCAUGAGUCCGCAUGUUCACAUGAUUAAAGGUAUUCCGGUAGACGAUGGGGAUGCGUUCCAUUAGAUAGUAGGCGGGGUAACGGCCCACAUAGUCUUCGAUGGAUAGGGGUUCUGAGAGGAAGGUCCCCCACAUUGGAACUGAGACACGGUCCAAACUCCUACGGGAGGCAGCAGUGAGGAAUAUUGGUCAAUGGGCGAGAGCCUGAACCAGCCAAGUAGCGUGAAGGAUGACUGCCCUAUGGGUUGUAAACUUCUUUUAUAAAGGAAUAAAGUCGGGUAUGGAUACCCGUUUGCAUGUACUUUAUGAAUAAGGAUCGGCUAACUCCGUGCCAGCAGCCGCGGUAAUACGGAGGAUCCGAGCGUUAUCCGGAUUUAUUGGGUUUAAAGGGAGCGUAGAUGGAUGUUUAAGUCAGUUGUGAAAGUUUGCGGCUCAACCGUAAAAUUGCAGUUGAUACUGGAUAUCUUGAGUGCAGUUGAGGCAGGCGGAAUUCGUGGUGUAGCGGUGAAAUGCUUAGAUAUCACGAAGAACUCCGAUUGCGAAGGCAGCCUGCUAAGCUGCAACUGACAUUGAGGCUCGAAAGUGUGGGUAUCAAACAGGAUUAGAUACCCUGGUAGUCCACACGGUAAACGAUGAAUACUCGCUGUUUGCGAUAUACUGCAAGCGGCCAAGCGAAAGCGUUAAGUAUUCCACCUGGGGAGUACGCCGGCAACGGUGAAACUCAAAGGAAUUGACGGGGGCUCGCACAAGCGGAGGAACAUGUGGUUUAAUUCGAUGAUACGCGAGGAACCUUACCCGGGCUUAAAUUGCAGAUGAAUUACGGUGAAAGCCGUAAGCCGCAAGGCAUCUGUGAAGGUGCUGCAUGGUUGUCGUCAGCUCGUGCCGUGAGGUGUCGGCUUAAGUGCCAUAACGAGCGCAACCCUUGUUGUCAGUUACUAACAGGUUCCGCUGAGGACUCUGACAAGACUGCCAUCGUAAGAUGUGAGGAAGGUGGGGAUGACGUCAAAUCAGCACGGCCCUUACGUCCGGGGCUACACACGUGUUACAAUGGGGGGUACAGAGGGCCGCUACCACGCGAGUGGAUGCCAAUCCCCAAAACCUCUCUCAGUUCGGACUGGAGUCUGCAACCCGACUCCACGAAGCUGGAUUCGCUAGUAAUCGCGCAUCAGCCACGGCGCGGUGAAUACGUUCCCGGGCCUUGUACACACCGCCCGUCAAGCCAUGGGAGCCGGGGGUACCUGAAGUGCGUAACCGCGAGGAGCGCCCUAGGGUAAAACUGGUGACUGGGGCU